GGGGGGGGGGGGGGGGGGGGUGGGGGGGGGCGGGGGGGGCGGGAGGGGCCUGCUGGGGGGGGGUGCGCGAGGGGCGAACGGGUGAGUAACACGGGAGUAACCUGCCCUUGACUUUGGGAUAACUUCAGGAAACUGGGGCUAAUACCGGAUAGGAGCUCCUGCUGCAUGGUGGGGGUUGGAAAGUUUCGGCGGUUGGGGAUGGACUCGCGGCUUAUCAGCUUGUUGGUGGGGUAGUGGCUUACCAAGGCUUUGACGGGUAGCCGGCCUGAGAGGGUGACCGGCCACAUUGGGACUGAGAUACGGCCCAGACUCCUACGGGAGGCAGCAGUGGGGAAUAUUGCACAAUGGGCGGAAGCCUGAUGCAGCAACGCCGCGUGCGGGAUGACGGCCUUCGGGUUGUAAACCGCUUUCGCCUGUGACGAAGCGUGAGUGACGGUAAUGGGUAAAGAAGCACCGGCUAACUACGUG
rnacentral:rRNA from 1 species